UUGCUUCCUGGAAGGCCCAGGAGCCUUAAAAUAUAUUGGGAACCCUGAGAAAGGAGGAAUUCACCCAAAUCUACAGGUGCUGCAGAUGAAGACUGAUGGAAGGAAAAUCUGCAGGUUGGCUAGGCAAGACCGUCUGUAUCAGUAAUUACAAAAUCUGUAUGGAGUCUCUUCCAGGACUGAAGACGUCCUUCCCCACAGAAAACCAUGAGAAACAAAUUUUUUCAUAACUAAUUUGGUGGAAGAAUCUGAUGUGAACUGCUGGAGGCUACUUGAUUAUCUGGAUUUAUCCUAUUUGUUCUGGAUAUUCACAUGUUUGGCAGCUGAAUCCUUUAAAUGUUUGAUUCAGAGGUCUACUACAUUACCUUUCUAAAUCCCAAAGAUCUGAAUUCAGAAACACAUCUGGCCAAAGCAUUUUGGCUUAGGGGCUAUGAGCCUGUCAUAUGUGACAGGAGAUUGGUGGUGAGCGUCUGUGUAUUUGCAAGAAGGAUGUGAUUCCACUUGCAGGAGUGUGGUGCCCCAGACAUUCUGAAGGAUCCAGCAGUACAAAUAAAAACAAUUAUAUCCUGAAUAAAACCUACUUUUAAUGCCAAGCUGGGCUACCAAGCAGUAAUGGAAAUCUCCAGCACUGCCCCCCCCAUAUACACACACAAAUACAAAAUAAAUAGAAAGAGACCAAAUACAUUCCAAACCAAGGGGAAAAAAAAUUGAAAAAGGAAAAAAUAAACACAAUCGUUGCAAAGAUUUUACAGUGACAUAUUAGCCACAAUAGGCUACUUUAUGCUAUGAUGAUAAAUCAACUUCACUAUCUCACUGACAAAACACAAAUGAAACUGGCUUCUCUCUCCUACUUCCCAGCAACGCAGGUUGGUAGGAGACCCUGCUCUGCAGCUACUGAAGGGCUUGAUGGAUGAAGGCUUCGCCAUCUGGCAUGCUGUAAGUUGUUGCAACAGCAUAAAAGAACACAUGGAAAACUCUGACCGUUUCCAACUUUGACAAAGGGUGAUACGUCACUUUCAUUCCUAUUGCACAGGAUUACUCUCACGUUGCCUCCCCUAAACUUAUAGGGCAUAUAGGGCAGUGUUCAUAUAGGGCAGUGCAAGGAAUGUUUGCCAAUCAUGACCAUAAAAGGAGAAAAAAGAAACAGAGAAAUAAAUGGGACAAAUAGGAAUGUAAAAUAACAUGGUAUAAACAAGUCCAGAGAAAUCUAUAAAUUACAAUACACAAAUGGAGUAUCCUCACAAGUAAAAAAGCAGGUCAUGUCAGAAGGGAUUUCUUAAAUCUACUUAUAUGAUGUUCAGAAGAGAGCCAUCAAAAAUGUUAGAACAAAUAAAGCUUAAAAAUAAAAAGGCAAAAAGGGAUAAAGAGGCAAAUAUCAAACAAAAGAAAGCUGAUACGGCUAUAUUUGUAUUAGAAAUAAUAGACGUUAAGAUUAAAAAAAUAAAUAUAAAGGAGGACACUCAUAAUAGUUUUUUAAAAGCCCAAUUCACCAGGAAGACAUAAAAAUUCUAAACUUAUGUGCACCUAGUAAAAUAGCAUCAAAUUACAUACAGUAGAAAUUGAUAAGGUGAAGAGAGACUAUGGCCCACAAAGCUUAAAGUAUUUACUAUCUGGCUUUUUAUAGAAAAAGUUGUUGCCACUGUACAUGGACAUAAAGCAUCUCAACACAUUUCAAAGUAUCAGUAUCAAGCGACAACCAUCUUUGAACUGAAAUGCAAUGAAGUUGUCAAUAAACUUGUCAAUUAAGACAAGUUUAAAAAUUCCAUGCUUUCGGAAAUUUGAAAGGAAACCUCACUUUUAAAUAAUGCAUGUGUGAAAGGAGAAAUAAUAAUGGGAAUCUUAGAAUACUAUGUAAGAAAUGAUAAUGAAACUGUUAUAUAUUAGAACUUGAUAGAUGAUCAAGGAUGAACAAUUAGGACCUCACUAAAGGCGCUAAUUGCAGUGCAUUAAAACAGGCCAAACAUGUGUAAAUCUAUGAG